rnacentral:rRNA from 1 species
GACCAUCCUCACACAACCUUGUGAUUAUUAGACGAUGACACGAGUUAGUCUCUUCGUUCAUGAGUACCUCAUCGUUUAUUUCGUUGCGGACGGCCAACGGAUUUAAAGGUGGCGUACGUGUACCGGUGCGUUCGCUCUUUCAGGUCAGCUAGCUUUUCUAUUCCUCUCUCUUUCCCUUUCUUUAGGGGUCGCUCAGCUAGGGGUUAGGAGUGUUCUGACUUUGUCCGUCUCUGAGGGUGCCGACCGGCUGGCCGGCAUAGUAAUCUCUCGCUUCUACAACAACAGCAGCCCCGGUUUCCGGUCCCGGCGUAGUUCGGGAUUCCGGCUACUUAGCGUGCCCUCCCUCGGCGCGUGGCGUAGGUAGCGGUAACUGUCGGUUGUUAAUUUAUUGGUGUGACCGACGACCACGGAAUAAAGGUAGCGUACGUGCACAUCGACGAUCUCCAAACUAAGGGAGCGAGGGACGGUGUGUGUGUGCGCCUGUACGGUGUAUAACGAGGGUCGGACCACUUCUCUAUUCCUCUUGCUGGCUCCCCUUUUAAGGGGUUAGCUAACUGGGGUAGGGGCGGGCUCUGUCCUUGUCUAUCUCUCCUGUGCCGACUGCCGGUGGUGUCGCCGCAAGUGGCCACCGCUCUCCACGAGGGCGACGGGAGCAGGAGCAGGCUCCUUUGAGGUCCCUCGUCCCACGAGCCGCGUUCCAGUAAGCGCUCGGGCUCGCGGCGACCUGAGGUACACGGUCGCGCCGGCCUCGCCAACGAGCUUCCGCCCGAGCAGUCCCCGUGCGGCUCCCGGUCUUCUGCAGCCGCUCGCAGAUACGCGCCGCUUCCGCCUCCUCAACGCCUGCAGCCCCUACCGUUCAGGCCACCACGCUGCAGCCGCUGCUGGUACCACGAUCACCUUGGAGAGUGCGGUCUCGGCUUCCGUCUUCCGCCUCCGAGGCCAGUCGCGCCUGUGCUUCCGCUCGCACAGUGGCAGUACUUGAACGUGAACUACACACCGGCCCUACACGCGGUAGCAGUCGUCGUAGCCCUCGCCGCGCGGCGGUAGCCGGAGAUGUUGGCGGCCCCAGCCUACGACGUCGCCGCGCAGGGGUUGAAGAAGUAGCAGCUACUGCUGCCAAGGGAGGAGGACUCCGCGGCGCUGCUGGCCUAGCCGGUGGUGUUUCAGCACCACUAUGUCCCCGUAUGAUGGGUCGGUACGCGGCUCGUGGUCUUGCCUCCGCCGCGCCUCGGCGGUCGCGGCCCAGCUACAAGAGUAGCCGGAGCUCGGAACCACGUCGGCCUGGCCGCCCUCCGGUCCGGCCGUGUAGCCCGACACCGCCGCGACCGCGUCCAACGCCGUACCAACCAAGCUGCCGGGGCGCGGCAAGGCUACCACCGUUGCUUCUUGCGCCUUCGGCGCUACGCAAGGACGUGGCACCGUAAAAGAAAGAGUGGAGACCGAACACCUAGAAGAACAAGGCCGCUAGCGGCCUUAGCUAGCUGAGCGAGUUGCCGCUCGCACGAUAUAAUCUACUCUAGACGAUAAAUAUGUUUCCCUUCUCUGUGGUUAUCCUUCCGCAGACAAGUCCCUCCCACGGAUAAGCCGUCCCUUGGCUGCGCCGUCUACGUUGACGGACGCCAAUCACUUUCGUCCCUAAUAGGGUAUUAAUUGUUAGUAAUUAAUUAGGAUUGUUUUAAAUUGGGAGGAAAAACGCUUAUUUUAGUUAGGAGAAAUUAUUUCUUUAUUACCUCCAAACAACAGAUGUUACUGUACAUGGAUAUCUAAAAUUAAACCAUCUCAUAUCUUAGAGUAAUUUCUGGUACGGUACAACUUUUAUACACAUAAAAAAACAUUAGAGGGUAAAGCGUUUGACUGUGUCUCUGGGUGAUUUGUGGUAAACACGAAACUUUUUUUUAGUAAAUAGUCAUCGUGAUAAACAGAUGAUG